AGUGAACGCUGGCGGUAGGCCUAACACAUGCAAGUCGAACGGCAGCACAGUAAGAGCUUGCUCUUACGGGUGGCGAGUGGCGGACGGGUGAGGAAUACAUCGGAAUCUACUUUUUCGUGGGGGAUAACGUAGGGAAACUUACGCUAAUACCGCAUACGACCUACGGGUGAAAGCAGGGGAUCUUCGGACCUUGCGCGAUUGAAUGAGCCGAUGGCGGAUUAGCUAGUUGGCGGGGUAAAGGCCCACCAAGGCGACGAUCCGUAGCUGGUCUGAGAGGAUGAUCAGCCACACUGGAAGUGAGACACGAUCGAGACUCGUACGGGAGGCAGCAGUGGGGAAUAUUGGACAAUGGGCGCAAGCCUGAUCCAGCCAUACCGCGUGGGUGAAGAAGGCCUUCGGGUUGUAAAGCCCUUUUGUUGGGAAAGAAAAGCAGCAGGUUAAUACCCCGCUGUUCUGACGGUACCCAAAGAAUAAGCACCGGCUAACUUCGUG
rnacentral:rRNA from 1 species